UUGGUAAGCCUCCUAACCCAAUUCCAAUUCCUGUUUCUACUAACAAGUUGUUACCUUCUGUGAUUCAGGCACCCGUCCUUGAGCUUAAACCAUUGCCGGACCAUUUAAAGAAUGUAUUUUUGGGAGAUGACGAGACAUUGCCCGUCAUUGUUUCCUCAUCACUCACGGCAUUGAAGAAGGAGAAGUUGAUUCGGGUGUUGAAAGAGCAUAAAACGGCAAUUGGAUGGACAUUGGCCGACAUUAAGGGAAUUAGCCCUACAACUUGCAUGCAUCGCAUACUUCUAAAGGAGGGGGCUAAUCUAACUCGAGAGGCUCAACGUCGACUUAACCCUCCAAUGAUGGAAGUUGUGAAGAAGGAGAUUAUCAAGCUUCUUGAUUGUGAAGUCAUUUACCCCAUCUCAGAUAGUCGUUGGGUUUCACCGGUUCAAGUUGUACCAAAGAAAUCAAGAGUCACAGUGGUGAAGAAUGCAGAGAAUAAGCUUGUGCCUACAUGUAUCCAAACCGGUUGGCGAGUGUGCAUUGACUAUAGGAAGCUAAACGCCACCACAAGGAAGGACCACUUCCCUUUGCCGUUCAUUGAUCAAAUGCUUGAAAGGUUAGCCGAUCAUUCUUUUUAUUACUUUCUAGAUGGUUAUUCGGGAUAUAAUCAAAUUGUUAUAGCUCCAGAUGAUCAAGAAAAGACUACUUUUACUUGUCCAUUGGCACUUUUGCUUAUCGUCGAAUGCCAUUCGGGUUGUGUAAUGCACCAGCCACGUUCCAACGAUGCAUGGUAAGUAUAUUCUCAGAUUUUGUGGAAAAGAUUAUUGAGGUUUUCGUGGAUGAUUUUAGUGUCUUUGGUUAUUCGUUUGAUGGUUGUUUAGAUAAUCUCACUUUAAUCUUAAACCGGUGCAUUGAAACUAACCUUGUUUUGAAUUGGGAAAUAUGUCACUUUAUGGUUAAACAAGGCAUAGUUUUAGGUCACAUAGUUUCAGAAAAGGGAAUAGAGGUUGAUAAAUCAAAAAUAGAUCUUGUGCGUUACUUACCAUCUCCCACUACGGUGAGAGAGGUUCGUUCUUUUCUUGGACAUACAGGAUUCUAUAGGCGAUUCAUCAAAGAUUUUUCCAAGAUUUCCCAACCCCUUUGCCGACUUCUUCAAAAGGAUGUGACAUUCAAGUUCGAUGAUGAGUGUGAGAAGGCAUUCAAUCACCUAAAGGAGAAGCUAACUUCGGCCCCCAUCAUAGUCCCAUCAGAUUGGAGCCUUCCUUUUGAGCUUAUGUGUGAUGCUUCAGAUUAUGCAUUAAGGGCUGUUUUGAGACAAAUGAGGGACAAGAAGCCACACGUCAUCUACUAUGCAUCCCGGACUUUAAAUGAUGCACAAUUGAAUUAUUCCACCACUGAAAAAAAACCUCUUGCUGUUGUAUUUGCUUUAGAUAAGUUUCGUUCAUAUCUUCUUGGAACUAAAGUUAUUAUUUACACUGAUCACGCAGCUUUGAAGUAUUUGCUCACAAAGAAGGAGGCCAAGCCAAGGCUUAUUCGUUGGAUGCUACUUCUCCAAGAGUUUGACGUGGAAAUCCGGGACAAGAAAGGAAGUGAAAACGUGGUGGCUGACCAUUUGAGCCGAAUGGUGCAUGAAGAAGAUGCCAAUGUCGUGCCCAUCCCAGAGACAUUCCCAGAUGAGCCGUUGUUGUCCAUUAAGGUAAGUAAGCCAUGGUAUGCCGAUCUAGUUAAUUAUUUGGUCACUAAGCAUGUCCCAAGCACCCUAAAUAAGCACCAACGUGAUAAACUCAAGAAGGAUGCAUGGUUUUAUGUUUGGGAUGACCCUUAUUUGUGGAAACAUUGCCCUGACCAGAUUCUAUGUAGGUGUGUGCAUGAUUCCGAGUUUCAUUCGAUUUUAACUUUCUGUCACACUUAUGCAUGUGGGGGUCAUUUUGGCACACAACGCACAACACAUAAGGUUUUAGAAUGUGGAUUUUAUUGGCCUACGAUCUUUAGAGAUGCUAGAACCUUUUGUAUAACCUGUGAUCGUUGUCAACGAAUGGGUACUAUAACAUCAAAAGACCAAAUGCCGCAACAUCCUAUAUAUUCUGUUAAGAUUUUUUAUGUUUGGGGUAUAGAUUUCAUGGGUCCAUUUCCUUCCUCCCAUGGUUUUCUUUAUAUAUUACUUGCUGUGGAUUAUGCUUCGAAAUGGGUGGAAGCAAAAGCCACCCGUACUAAUGAUUCUAAAGUGGUUGCAAAUUUUAUUAGAACUAACAUAUUUGCAAGGUUUGGAAUGCUAAGAGUGCUCAUUAGUGAUGGAGGAUCCCAUUUUUGUAAUCGAACCAUUGAGGCGUUGCUCAAGAAGUACAAUGUCACGCAUAAGGUUUCCACACCUUAUCAUCCGCAAACAAGUGGGCAAGCCGAGGUUUCAAAUAGGGAAAUCAAGCAAAUUUUGGAGAAGACAGUGGGACCAACUCAAAAAGAUUGGAGCUUGCGCUUAAAUGAUGCAUUGUGGGCAUAUAGAAUGGCCUACAAAACACCAAUUGGGAUGUCCCCAUUUCGGCUGAUCUAUGGGAAACCAUGUCAUCUUUCGGUUGAAUUGGAGCAUCGUGCACAUUGGGCCAUCAAAACAUUCAAUAUGGACAUUGAUGCCGCUGAGAUCCAUAGGAAAUUGCAAUUCAAUAAGCUUGAGGAGAUUAGGAAGGAAGCUUAUGAGAACGCUCUCAUUUACAAGGAGAAAGCAAAGGCCACCCAUGACAAGAUGAUUCGUGGCAAGACAUUCUCUAUAGGGCAGAAAGUGUUACUUUUCAAUUCCUGUCUUCAGUUGUUUCCGGGUAAGUUGCUUUCUAAAUGGAUUGGACCUUUUGUUAUUACUAAUGUUUUUCCUCAUGGUGCAGUCCAAAUUCAAAGUUUGAAGAUGGAACAUGAAUUCAAGGUCAAUGGACACCGUUUGAAGCCCUAGUAUGAGACAUUUGAGGAGCAUGUCGUGGAGGACAUACCCCUCCAUGCUGUGGACCCUAUUCAAGCUUAAAUAGAGGUAUCGUCCGACUGGAAGACGUUAAAGCAAGCGCUUCUUGGGAGGCAACCCAUGUGGUCAAACGAGGGAUUGAAGGAAUUCGAGCUCCAUAACCAGAUUUGCGUUCUUAAACUCUACCCUUUCUUGUUUUUACUUUGCCAUGUUUGUCGUGUUUGUUAGUUGUGUUGUUUGCUUGCAUAUAUGUGAGUCUAUAUUUGAAACAUUGAGGACAAUGUUUGGUUUAAGUGUGGGGGGGUAACCAAGUGUUUUUAUUGCAAAUUCGUGGGAUUUUAUCACCCAUAACUUCCAAAGUUGUUCCUUGCUAUUUUUAAGUCUUUUUAAGCUGUUUUGGUGCAUUUUAGUGUGUUUUGACAUAAAAAUCCAAAAAUCUCAUAAAAUUUUGAAAAAUUGUUUUGAAAAACCCAAAAAGAGUUGUUUUUGUGUGUUUGUUUAUGUCUUAGGGUACCUUCCAACACAAGGAUGAUGAUUUGAUUUUUAAUUGCAUGACUGUUAAAAAAAGUUAUAAACAUGGAUGAAAGUUUGAUAUACUCUUUGGUUUAUGCUUGGUUGUAGUUAACGUUUACGAAUUCACAUGUAAUCACAAAGGAAAAAAAUAAGUUUUUGUAACAUGCUUGAAGGAAGGAACUCAAACUAACGCUACAACCCUGAGACACUUGAGCCUAAACUUUAUUUGGAGAGUUAUUAAUCUGUGAUUUGUUGUUUUCUAAAGUCGUUGCAUGAUCUCAUUAUUCUUUGCUUGGUUGCUACUUAGAAUGCGUUUUAUCACUUUAGUUCCAAAUACUAGAACUUAUACCCGUUUCAUUCAAAACUUAAAAUUGAAUGCAUAACAUAUAGCAAGAUGAAGUUGUUAGUAGUUACCACCAGAGCCAAAAAGCCUUCAUUACAUGCAUUUGUUUUUGUAGGUUUAACCCCUUUGAGCCUUAAUUAGCCUAUUUUCUUUGUUAGCCACAUUAUCCUCACCUAGCCUAGAAUAGGACUAUCCACACCCUUGUUCUUAAAGUAUAGUGGAGCAAGACUUAGAGGGAAUUCCUUUUGAUCAACAUUGUUCUAGAAAACAAGUGAGGGGGAAGGUUUUCAAAAGUGUGUAAGAGCCAAAGUCUUAUAAGAGGCACGGGUAGAAAAAAAAAUAAAAUAAAAUAAAAUAAAAAAAUUCGUGAAAAAUAGAAAGGAAAAAGAAAAGUUGUGAAAAGAAUAAAGAAGAGCUGAAAAAUAUGUGAAAAAGAGCUCUAAAGUGUUGGUUGUUGAAGAAAGGGUCCAAAAAAGCUUGAAUUUGACCCUAAGUGUUGCAUGAAUCUUCCCUUGUGUUUAAAAGUUGAUUUCUGAAUUCUAAAGGGAAUUCUAAGUUAAUUUCAGUACUUUGCUUACUCUUGCUUUAAGAACGUUUGUUUUCCUUACCUUUCUUUGUUAGCCAAUACCCUUAGCCCCAUUACAACCCUUAGACUUUAAUCUUGGUUGUUGUGUAUUUCAAUAUGUGGAGUUUGGGAUUGGUAUGAGCAUAUGGUAUCCCUAGUUCUCGUGUCUAAGUAGUAGUAUUCCGUUCGUGAGAUCAUAUAUAUAUAUACAUGCAUUAAUAAUUCUAGAAAGUGCUUUCUUCGCUUAUAACUUAUGUGAGUGUUAGUCUACAUAUUUACAUCAAUCUUCUCAUAUAUACCUAGUAUAGGGAGUGUAGUCAGAAAUUUUGUGUGAAAAUAGAGUGUAUAUCCGGUGAGGAAUUGAGGGAAUUCUCUAAGGCAUGUUACUACAUUCAAAAUGUUGUUUUAUGUGAUUAAAUGCGAAAUAGUAAGUGGUGACUGUGAUUAAGUAUGCGCUUGAGGGUAGGAAUAACUAAAAUCUAUGUGAGUAGUGAUUUUUAAUGUGUCAUGUUUCAUUGGAAAUCCCUGAGGCAAAUGUUGGAAGGUUUAGGUUAUGUUUUGUUUGUUUUGUUUCCUUUGUUUUGCUCGAGGACUAGCAAAAGCUAAGUGUGGGGGAAUUGAUUGGAGCAUAUUUAUGCGACUUAGUUAGCUUGUUUUCUUGCACUUUUAUAGUUAGUUUGUGGUUAUUAUAGUGUUUUAAGCUAUUUUCGUGUGUUUGUAAGUCCAAAUGACAAAGUAUGCAAAAAGUUGCAAUUUGGAGCCUUUUGGAGCAGUUUUGAGCAUAAAAUGGAUAUCACAUGCUUGGAGUCAAAUGGAUGGACGAAAUUAAAGAUCAAAGGAGGCAAGAAAUGAAUAAAAGAACAUGAAGAACAAAGAGUUCAGAAUUGGAAGCCAAAGUUUCUAAAGUUGGAGGUUUCCAUUCUUGAAAGUUUCUAUUCUUGGAUUGGAAGUUUCCUAAUCUUUUUUCACCUUGGUUCCAACCCUUGCCGCACCUCUCAAGCUUCUUCCCUCUUGGAUUCUGAUUUGUUAGGCCCUUUUCCUUGUGGAUUUGGGUUCUACAAAUCCUUUUCAGAAACUAAGUGGGCCAAAAAUCCUUUUCUUUGUUGAUUUAAACCCUAAACCAAAUCCUUAGGCCCUAAGCCUUAAAAUCUGCUAAGUUUAAACCCUAAUCUAUCUCCCCUAGCGUUGUGCCGCACCUAACACUUCUAGAAGCCUAAAAAUCUGCACAAACCCUAGUUAUUUUCUCCCUUGGAUGGGCCAAGCCUUUUAUCUUCAAAACCCUAACCCUUUUCCCAUCAGAUUUUGUGAAAACCCUAGCUUUGCCGUGCCUAUAUAUAUGUGUUUUUAAAGCCUAAAUUCGUCACCACCCUUCACACCAUUCAGAAACACCUUGCCACAACCCUAAUCACCAUUCUACAUCACAAAACACCAUCCUACAUCCAUAUACAUCUCUACCGCACCUUUUGGAGAAGAAGGAGAGCCUUGUCGUGCAUUCCAUUGAUGAAGGAGGGCCUUGUGCGCAAGCCAUCUGCAUCCUUGGGAGUUUUAAGAGUUCUUUCUUCCCUCGUUUCAGUUUCGAUGUUUAUUUUAAUUUGCUUUUCAAUUGCUAUGAACAUGUGGAACUAAACUCUUAUUAGUUAGUGGUGAAUUUUAAGCCAUGGACAUAUGUUAAUAUGAAUUGAUUCCUUUCAGUUAUUGUUUUGUAAAACAUGAAUGCGAUUUACUUAUCUAUUUGAUUGAUAACUUAUUCUUGUGUGUUGAUUAAAGAGGCCUACUUAGUUUGCAUGCUUGAAUCUGAAGCUAAAUUAUAAGGGACUUUCACCUAAUCGUUAGAAACUUAUAUUUACAAGUAGUGGAGAUUGUUAGUCACAAUCGUGUUAAGUAGAUUCUUGGCAAAAGUAUCAUGCAGUUCAUAGUUAUAAUUGCAUUGUCAAUGCUUAUGAUUUCCAUGGAAUUUAAUGAUCUUUGAAUGUAUCUCUAUCAUGUUGUUCAUAUAGGGAACUUGAGAAGAAUAAUUUGGGUUGUUGCAUGCAUUCAUCCAAUUCAAUUAAUUUAGGGAAAUCUGAUAGUUAAUUUGUGCAUUCACGAUUAAUUUGGGGCAUUGUCGUUAAUGGUUUAAAGAAACAAUACUGGAAAUUGAUUUAUGUUGCAUAUGUUCAUGUGUGGAGAAGGAUCCUCUAACUAUCUUUUCACCCUUGAAUUCAUCUCAAUUUCGUUUUAGUUUACUUUGAUUUGCAAUCUGUUUAGUUUUAAUUCAAUUUCGUCAGAAAUCAAACACCCUUUUCUAUUUUAUGUUAUUAGGUCAGAAUUUGUCCUAAUUAGGCUAUUUAGAGUGUUUUGAGUCAAUAUAGGUUAGGUUUAGUCCAUAAACAUUGUUUGGGUCUUAGUUUAGUUUUAAAUUCGUCCAAAUUCAUCUCUAGAAUCUGUUUUGAGUCUAAUUGUUAGUAUUGUGUUGUUUUGAGUCUUUUAAGUGUUUUCUGAGUUAGUUAAGUUACAAUCUGUUUUCCUUUAAUCUUUUGAGUCAAAGUAAGUUUUAAUUUCGUCCAAAUCACUUGUUAGGUCUAGAAUUGAAUCAAUUUCACUUAGUUUUGCAGAUUUGAGUAUUUUAGGUCAGUUUAGAGUCUAUAGAGUUUAUUCUUGUGUUUUUAAGUCUAGUUUAGUGUUUUAGAGUUUAAUUUGAGUAGAUUAGCAGCCCUAGUUAAUCCCCGGUUUAGAACGAUCCCUACUUACAUUUUUACUACAAUUGUCAUCAAUAUGGUUUAAUUUGUGUGUCAAGUAAUUUUCACAUUAACACAUGAGGAUAUUUUACACAAUAAUUUCUCUACACGGCACUAAUAUAAUGAAUGUCACUUCACUUGAGCUAAAUUAAUUGUGAUUUGAUAGUUUAUUAGGCUAUUCGAAUUUGUGAGGACUAAUGGCAGAUCACCAGAAUACUAAAAUCCAGAAAAGCCAAUGUACCUCAGAAAUCAGAAUUGAGGUCAGACUGCCGGUUCAUGAUUCCCAUAAGCCAUACCAUAUCCCCCUGCCCAAAUUCUAAAAUAUCGAUAAUAUUGGAAAUAUCGGUAGUCUAAAAAUAUGGAAAUUUUGAUGAAAAUAUCAGAAUAUUAUUGAUAUCAGUAAAAAUUGAAUAAAAACCACAGAAAUUAUAAGAAAAACUUGAAAAUUUUUAUUGAAACUUUACAUGAUGUUUAUUUAAUUAAUUAUCUAUUAGUUUAUCACAAAAAAUUGGAAGGAAAUGCAUUGCAUGAUGGAUUUAACUGAUUUAAGUUGAUUAUAUAGCGAGCUGGCAAAUAUUGUGAGUGUAGAAAAUAUGUAGUAAUUAAUGAAAAAAGUUUAAACACACCAUAAUCAUUUGUAUAUAAUGAAUUAGUACAAUAUUUUACACUUUAUACAUUGCAUGGUAAGAUACAUGAGUGACUUAAUACCACAUAGAUUUCCUAUCAAGGUCUAAAUAUCGAUGAUAUCAGAAAUAUCGGUAGUCUAAAAAUACAGAAAUUUCGAUGAAAAUAUCGGAAUAAUAUCGAUAUUUUAGACUUUGCCCUUGCCUUGUCUUGAUUAAGCAGCCCUCCUCUUUUUCAAGUUUUCAUGACCACCUUUGCCCCUUUUCUAAUCAAUGAUUCACUUCAAUCCCACACUCCAACUAAUAUACGCUACAUUUUUUUUUUCUUUUAAAAAACUUGCAACAUUCUCAUUUCAUUUAGGCUCUUUCGUUUACUUUUUUUUUUACUCUUCUUCUCAUUUUGUAGUGUUGUACUAUGAUCCAAAUCAUUUAUUUUUUAGGUUAAUCUUUAAAGAUUAUCUCUUUAAAAAAUUAGAAUCAUGUUUUAUGUUAAACAUUAAAAUUUUGACAACGUUAAUUGAACUGUUCAACUAUUUUUAUUUAGUUGAUAUUUUUCAUAAAGUUGAUCUUUAAAUGGUAAUUUAGAAAGUUGAUGGUUCAUAUUAUCUUACAACAUUGCAUAAUGAGAACGAGAGCCAUGAAAGUAAAAUAGAAAGUUGCGAGAGAGAAGUUUGCUAUCAACCUCUUUUUUCGGUAGAACGAGUCCAUGUGUUAAAUUUUCUGGACAAUACUCACUUCACAGUUGCACUUUCUUAUCCACUCGUUGUGAUUGAUGUACUUUAUUUGUGCAAUUGGUAAAAUCAGAAGCGUCCAUUUUCUUAAUCAUCAUUUAAAGAUAUAUCUACACACAUAAAAAAAGUAUUCAAAUUAGUGAUCUUUUAGACAUGCAUAUACUUCAAACAAAUGAACAAUUCAUCCUUAGAAUGCCAAUUGUUACCAAAGUCAUGAUCUAUUUUACACAUAAAGGGCCCGUUUGUUUGGCUUCGCUAAACAUCCUUGGACUAGACUGGACUGUAAUCCGGUGUUUGUUUCACACGGGCAACGUUUAAUGAGACUUGCUCUGACUGAGUCCGACUAACAGGUUCGCUAGAGGGUCUUAGCGAGACCCCCCGAAAUUGGGCGGACUGCUAAGACCACACUACUACGCUUCACUCCUACUCGUUUUGUCCUCCCAUCUGCCUCUUCCUCGCGUCCCACAAACCAUUUCAAACCCAAAUCCUGCAAAAUCUGCCUCUUCCACUUCGUCCUCCCAUGUGCCUCUUCAUCUCGUCCUCCCAUCUACCUCUUCCUCGCCUCUGCCUCUUCCUCUGCAACACCCUUUAAUCACCGCUCAAAUCUGAAACAAAGCUCCACCUACUGUCCAAACCUCAAAAUCCAACCACAAAAAUUUUAUAAAAAAAAACGCGAAAAAAUAACUACAAAAUUCAAAAUCCACCCAUUGCCAGAAAAUUAUGAGAUGACUUUGUAGGUGGAGAAGCCAACGCUUGUAUCAGAGGAAGGAGAGAGAUCCGAAAAUUUUUGGGAAAAAAAGGAUAAGGAAGGUGGAAAUUCUUAACAACGGCAAGAGGGUGAAGAGGAUGAGCUUGUUUUGAAGGAUUUGCGAUGAACUUUACACCUGCGUUUUGCAGGAAAAAGAUGGAGGAAAGAAGAAAUGGGGCUGAGCC
rnacentral:lncRNA from 1 species